rnacentral:lncRNA from 1 species
CACUGGAUACCCUUCAGCCUGUGAAAGGUCUGACCUGAGGGGAAGCCGAGGAGUGGGCUGGCAGAAGAUAGAACGGGGAGGAGGCUGCCUUGGGUUCACGUGGGCCUGAUCUCUGUCCCGCUCCCUGCUCUUAGGAGCCCCCUUGGUGAAGCCCUUGCCAGUAAACCCCACAGACCCAGCUGUUACAGGUCCUGAUAUCUUUGCCAAGUUGGUACCCAUGGCUGCCCAUGAGGCCUCAUCACUGUACAGUGAGGAGAAGGCCAAGCUACUUCGGGAAAUGCUGGCCAAGAUUGAAGAUAAGAAUGAAGUCCUAGAUCAGUUCAUGGACUCCAUGCAGCUUGACCCUGACACAGUGGACAACUUGGAUGCCUACAACCAUAUCCCACCC